ACGAACGCUGGCGGCAUGCUUAACACAUGCAAGUCGAACGGAAAGGCCCUGCUUUUGUGGGGUGCUCGAGUGGCGAACGGGUGAGUAACACGUGAGUAACCUGCCCUUGACUUUGGGAUAACUUCAGGAAACUGGGGCUAAUACCGGAUAGGAGCUCCUGCUGCAUGGUGGGGGUUGGAAAGUUUCGGCGGUUGGGGAUGGACUCGCGGCUUAUCAGCUUGUUGGUGGGGUAGUGGCUUACCAAGGCUUUGACGGGUAGCCGGCCUGAGAGGGUGACCGGCCACAUUGGGACUGAGAUACGGCCCAGACUCCUACGGGAGGCAGCAGUGGGGAAUAUUGCACAAUGGGCGGAAGCCUGAUGCAGCAACGCCGCGUGCGGGAUGACGGCCUUCGGGUUGUAAACCGCUUUCGCCUGUGACGAAGCGUGAGUGGCGGUAAUGGGUAAAGAAGCACCGGCUAACUACGUG
rnacentral:rRNA from 1 species